rnacentral:rRNA from 1 species
GACGAACCGAGCGAACGUUGUUCGGAAUCACUGGGCUUAAAGGGUGCGUAGGCGGGCUGCCAAGUUUGGGGUGAAAUCCUCCGGCUCAACCGGGGAAGUGCCUCGAAUACUGGCGGUCUGGAGGGAGGUAGGGGCGUGCGGAACUAACGGUGGAGCGGUGAAAUGCGUUGAUAUCGUUAGGAACUCCGGUGGCGGAGGCGGCACGCUGGACCUUUUCUGACGCUGAGGCACGAAAGCCAGGGGAGCGAACGGG